rnacentral:rRNA from 1 species
AGUGAACGCUGGCGGUAGGCCUAACACAUGCAAGUCGAACGGCAGCACAGUAAGAGCUUGCUCUUACGGGUGGCGAGUGGCGGACGGGUGAGGAAUACAUCGGAAUCUACUUUUUCGUGGGGGAUAACGUAGGGAAACUUACGCUAAUACCGCAUACGACCUACGGGUGAAAGCAGGGGAUCUUCGGACCUUGCGCGAUUGAAUGAGCCGAUGUCGGAUUAGCUAGUUGGCGGGGUAAAGGCCCACCAAGGCGACGAUCCGUAGCUGGUCUGAGAGGAUGAUCAGCCACACUGGAACUGAGACACGGUCCAGACUCCUACGGGAGGCAGCAGUGGGGAAUAUUGGACAAUGGGCGCAAGCCUGAUCCAGCCAUACCGCGUGGGUGAAGAAGGCCUUCGGGUUGUAAAGCCCUUUUGUUGGGAAAGAAAAGCAGCAUGCUAAUACCCCGCUGUUCUGACGGUACCCAAAGAAUAAGCACCGGCUAACUUCGUG